ACCACUGACUCAUUCUUGCUUUAUCCUAAGUGUAUAUGUACAUUUUGGUUAAAAUCAUGGACUUUGGAGUCAUGGAAUCUCUGCUUCAGCACUUAUGUGACGUGUGGCCUCAGUCCUCUCAUCUGUAAAGCUGGGACUCAGUCUCCUUCAGAAGAUGAGAUAUUGCUUUCCAGACAUCAUUUUUCUCUUCCUGGUCUCCCCAGAGCUCAAUAAAGCAGGUUUACUGGAUUGCAAAUCUUCAGAAAAUGGAGAAACAGAGCAGAACCACAAUCACGGACAAAGAAGACUUUGUUUACAGAUGCCCUAGGCCCAUUCAUAGGCAGUUUGCUUCACCAAGAUGCUGCGUCCCAUUGGUCUAGUCAAACCAGAAUCAGAACACAAAGAAAUCUAUUGAUGGUACCUGAAGAGGGCAGCCACUGGGAAAAGAGGUGGUAGAGAAAUGUGGAGAGUAUAUAUGAAAUGGAAAAAAAAGAGUUGUUUUACUUAAACUAUAAACAAGAGAAUGUUCUGGUUUUUCAGUCCAUCAAAGCAUCAGGUCUGCUUCCUCAUCCAGGGUGAUGCAUUGAAUUGUGACACACAGGGGGCAGUGAAAUUAACUAUCUUUCCCGUGAGAAAUAAUUCAUCAUUCAGGGUUUGCUACUAAUGUGCCUCUGUUGCUAGUAAAUGAAGUCAUAUGAAGUGUACAGAAGCUGUGGAACAGAUGGGCAGUACAUAAAUAUCAUUUAUGGAUCAUAAUGGCAACAGCAAUCAUUUUCUCAUUUAUAAAUGGGAGGCAUUUGGACUGCAGUAAAGAAAAUGUUGGAAUAUCUUAUUGUGGAACAAUGUAGCAGAUGGAUAAGAAAUAUAGGAAACUCCUGGGAGUUCACCAGCAUUUAUGGUAUCGUGAAAAUGUGACAGUAAGAGCAGUCACAAAAAAACAGCAGGUCAUGGCCUGCAGAGAUGGCCAACUCAGAAAUUUGACUGUUUCAUGUGUUUAGAUGUUAUAAUUUAAUUUAACACAGAUGCUGAGCCAACUUAUGCUCUAAUGAUAAUAUAUUUGAUAUGUUCAACUUUGUUGUAAUCAAAAUUCAAUUUCUUGUGGAAUUAAAUAAUUGAAAUAUGUUGUGGCAUUUAUUAUCCCCAAAUGACAAAAAUCAAACAGACAACCAAGUGGCACCAGCUUCAAAUGAAAGCAAAGUGGACUGGGGCCAAAGAUGAAGAAGGCCGAAUGGCAAAUAGAAGCCCUACCAGGAGACUGAGAUUGGAGGGUUUGUGUUUAAGACCAUGAUCCUCUGCAGUGAGACAGCUCUGUCCACAGGCUUUGGAAGAAUAAAUUGUGUUCAGUUUUGCAAGAUCAAUUUUUAUGAUCCAUGCUUUAAACCAGAUGUAAGAAGCAUUUAAGUCGAAGAGAAUAGCUCUGUGGGUUUGUGAAUGUUGAGUAGAAUCCCCAAAUUUCAUAUUAUCUAAUGACCAUUAUUGAUCUCUAUUGACCAUUAUUGGUUUCUAGUGACCAUUAUUUGUCACUAGAUAAUAUGAAAAAGGCCAUCAGAGGGCUUUUGUGGGAAUGAAGUUGAAGAAGCAGAAUUCUAUAUGAUGGAUGAACACCAUACAUCUUAAUUUUAUAAAGACCCAAAGAUAUUUAAAAUAGCCUAUCCUUUGUCUUGACAAGCAUGUUAGUUUUGAGACCACCUACUCUGAGUUUUGAUUUGGGAUAGUCGUUGUACUCAAGUAUCCUAAGACUAUAACAAGAACAGAAGUCUUAAUGAAAAUAUUCAUAUGUGCUUAUCAUUAAAGAAUUUCAGUAGUGAUAUAACAUCCUUAUAAAAGGAAAUGGCAUAUUUUUAAUUUUACAUCCCAUGUCUAAGAGCGCAACUUGAAAUCUAAAACAGAAUAGUGAUAGAUGCUGCUGAAGUAUCUCAGAAGCACUGAGAGAUAAACAAAAAAGUUAAAUUUGUAAUAAAAUCUCAUUAAUCAUAUGUAACUGGGGCUUCAGAAAAAUGAGUCAUCAAAUCUUUGGAAACUUUGAGGAUGUUUACUAAGACUUUAAAGUUGGACAUAUUCCAAUUGAAAAUGUUAUUCGCAAGUAAAAAGGGAUUUUUUUUCUUUUUGUCAGAGAUGCACUGAACAUAAACUAUUUAAUCUAGACUAUUUGCUAGGUGAUUUUUAGGUAACCAUAGUGACCACAUCUAAAGGAUUUGUAAAAAGUGUCUAUUGUAGCAGUUGAUUGCACCCUAUUGACCCAAAAGCAUUAAUUUGUAUUAGUGAGUAGAAAAUGAAAGGAGGUUGUGUAACAGAACAAAUAAUCUAGGGGUAAAUGUGGGAAGACAUAAGCAUAUACGUGCACACAUAGUCUAACCUCUCAGUGUGGCAGUCGGCUCAAUGUUCCCACCUCCACUGCAGCUCACAGGUAGGGGCUCAUGCACUGUAUUAGGAGUAGGCUAAUACAAAGGCUAGGGCUACUUAUGUCUUCAUGCAUUGUAAAGUGCAGUUGUAUUGCUUCUAGUAAUUUGAUCAAUAGAGGCAUUCAAAAUCUAUAAUGUUCAUUCUACAAUACAUGUUUUGAUCAAAUUGGUUUUUAAUUAAAUUUAGAAAACAACUAAAAUCUCCAUUCUAUUAUAUUAAAAAACAAGAAAUUUAACUAGACAUCUGGCUGUUAAAUGUCAUGUAGAUAAAGCAUUUAAGUAAUUAGUUUGUUUUUCAAUUUUUUAAUUUCAAUGUUUGCUAUCUUUAGAGUCAAAGUAGAUUAAGAAUUAGUCAUGAUAACAAUUUAUUUGAUUUAUGAAGAAAGUGUGACUCAAAAUAAUGAUCUAUCCAGUGUGUAAAAAGGUAAUUACUUUCAUGUCAGAAAUAGUUUUACAUCAUCUCUGCACUUGGUCUUGAGUUGUCAUAUAUAAAAUUAAAAACAUC